rnacentral:pre_miRNA from 14 species
AUCUUCGUGCCGCUUGUGCCUGGGUCGGUCUGGAAGACUUGUGAUUUUGUUGUUUCUGGUGUCAAGGAAGCGAACAACAAAUCCCAGUCUCCUCACAGCCCCAGGGCCAGUCCCCAGCACCUGGC